GAUGAACGCUGGCGGCGUGCCUAAUACAUGCAAGUCGAGCGAACAGACGAGGAGCUUGCUCCUCUGACGUUAGCGGCGGACGGGUGAGUAACACGUGGAUAACCUACCUAUAAGACUGGGAUAACUUCGGGAAACCGGAGCUAAUACCGGAUAACAUGUUGAACCGCAUGGUUCAACAGUGAAAGACGGUUUUGCUGUCACUUAUAGAUGGAUCCGCGCCGCAUUAGCUAGUUGGUAAGGUAACGGCUUACCAAGGCAACGAUGCGUAGCCGACCUGAGAGGGUGAUAGGCCACACUGGAACUGAGACACGGUCCAGACUCCUACGGGAGGCAGCAGUAGGGAAUCUUCCGCAAUGGGCGAAAGCCUGACGGAGCAACGCCGCGUGAGUGAAGAAGGUCUUCGGAUCGUAAAACUCUGUUAUUAGGGAAGAACAAAUGUGUAAGUAACUAUGCACGUCUUGACGGUACCUAAUCAGAAAGCCACGGCUAACUACGUG
rnacentral:rRNA from 1 species